rnacentral:rRNA from 1 species
UACGUAGGGUGCGAGCGUUGUCCGGAAUUAUUGGGCGUAAAGGGCUCGUAGGCGGUUUGUCGCGUCGGGAGUGAAAACCUCGGGCUUAACUCGGGGCUUGCUUUCGAUACGGGCAGACUUGAGUUCGGCAGGGGAGACUGGAAUUCCUGGUGUAGCGGUGAAAUGCGCAGAUAUCAGGAGGAACACCGGUGGCGAAGGCGGGUCUCUGGGCCGAUACUGACGCUGAGGAGCGAAAGCGUGGGGAGCGAACAGG